GGACGUCAUUUACGUUGGGGAUCCCGGUCGGGAGACGACGCUGGAGAGAAAAGCACUUUGGCCAUCCAGGGACUAGCAGCGCUUGGGUCAAGCACGAAAGGCGGAUCAGCGGCGGGAGCAACAGUGCAGGAGGCUGUACCUGUCCUAGGCAGGCACACAGGUUGGCAAGGCCAGUUGGAACCAAGAUAAAAGGUCAUCACAGGAAAACCUUGAACCACUUACUGAGGAGGAUUCCCAGAGCACACUGGCUAGAGCAGUGUUUGAUUUCAUGGGUCAGACAUGGAGCCUGUCCCUGUUACUCUUUACCUUGGUUCUGCUGAAUUCUCCCAGACAUGUCACAGGUGAGUGAUUGCACCCAACUAGUCCUGCCCAUACUCUAGUCCUCUCAGCUGGGGUUCACAAACUUGGGGGGAGGAGAUUGGAGAGGGGAAAGAGGAGAAGGAAAGGAGGGAGGGGAAAGGCCUUAGGACUUGAAAAUAGCAAGGUCCACACAGGAGAAAGAAGAAGGGAGGCCAUGAAGGGUACAAGGUGAGGAAGCAGCUGGACACCCUCACUCUCCUCACAGAUUAGAACCCAGCUCCAGAGGUCUGAGGGUCAAAGACCUGAGGAUAGCUGGAGGAGAUCAGGCAGGACU
rnacentral:lncRNA from 1 species